rnacentral:rRNA from 1 species
AGAGUUUGAUCAUGGCUCAGGAUAAACGCUGGCGGCGUGCCUAACACAUGCAAGUCGAACGCUCACAGCAAUGUGAGAGUGGCGGACGGGUGAGGAACACGUGGGUAUCUGCCCAGAGGUGAGGAAUACCGGCGAGAAAUCGCCGACAAUACCGCAUAGGAUCAGCAAUGAUCAAAGUCGCAAGACGCCUUUGGAUGAGCCUGCGUCCGAUUAGCUCGAUGGUGGGGUAAAGGCCUACCAUGGCAACGAUCGGUAGCUGGUCUGAGAGGACGAUCAGCCACACUGGGAUUGAGAACGGCCCAGACUCCUACGGGGGGCAGCAGUGAGGAAUUUUCGUCAAUGGGCGCAAGCCUGAACGAGCAACGCCGCGUGCAGGACGACGGCCUUCGGGUUGUAAACUGCUUUUCUCUGGGAAGAGAACGGACGGUACCAGAGGAAGAAGCCCCGGCUAACUACGUGCCAGCAGCCGCGGUAAUACGUAGGGGGCAAGCGUUGUCCGGAGUUACUGGGCGUAAAGGGCGUGCAGGCGGUGCUCUAAGUUCGGAGUGACAGUUCCCGGCUUAACUGGGAAAGGCCUACCGAAAACUGAAGCACUUGAGGGCCAGAGAGGGACAUAGAAUUCCGGGUGGAGUGGUGAAAUGCGUAGAUAUCCGGAGGAAUACCAAAGGCGAAGGCAGUGUCCUGGCUGGCAUCUGACGCUGAGGCGCGAAAGCUAGGGGAGCGAACAGGAUUAGAUACCCUAGUAGUCC